UUCGAUUCUGGCUCAGAUUGAACGCUGGCGGGAUGCUUUACACAUACAGUCGAACGGCAGCACGGACUUCGGUCUGGUGGCGAGUGGCGAACAGGUGAGUAAUGUAUCGGAACGUGCCCUAGUAGCGGGGGCUAACUACGCGAAAGCGUAGCUAAUACCACAUACGCCCUUCCAGGGAAAGCGGGGACGCUGGGCCUGCACUAUUCGACUUGGCCGGCCUAUCCGGAUUGGCUAGUUGGUGAAUGGCUGGCUCACAAGGCGACGAUCAACGCUGGUUUGAGAGGACGACCAGCCACACUGCGGGACUGAGACACGGCCCAGACUCCUACAGAGGAGGCAGCAGUGGGGCACGGACAAUGGGAAACCUGAUCCAGCCGCUCCCGCGUGUGCGAUGAAGGCCUUCGGGUUGUAAAGCACUUUGGCAGGAAAGAAACGGCACGGGAUAAUACCCCGUGCAACUGACGGUACCUGCAGAAUAAGCACCGGCUAACUACGUGCCAACAGCCGCGGUAAUACGUAGGGUGCAAGCGUUAAUCGGAAUUACUGGGCGUAAGCGUGCGCAGGCGGUUCGGAAAGAAAGAUGUGAAAUCCCAGAGCUUAACUUUGGAACUUUGCAUUUUAACUACCAGCUGAAAUUGUGCAGAGGGAGGUGGAAUUCCGCGUGUAGCAGUGAAAUGCGUAGAUAUGCCGGAGGAACACCGAUGGCGAAGGCAAUAUCCUGGGAUACUGACGCUCAUGCACAGCAAUGCGGGAGCAAACAGGAUUAGAUACCCUGGUAGUCCACGCCCUAAACGAUGUCAACUAGCUGUUGUUGGGGCCUUCGGCCUUGGUAGCGCAGCUAACGCGUGAGAUUGACCGCCUGGGAGAUACAGUCGCAAGAUUAAAACUCAAAGGAAUUGACGGGGACCGCACAAGCGGUGGAUGUGGAUUAAUUCGAUGCAACGCGAAAAACCUUACCUACCCUUGACAUGUCUGGAAUCCCGAAGAGAUUUAGAGUGCUCGCAAGAGAACCGGAACACAGGUGCUGCAUGGCUGUCGUCAGCUCGUGUCGUGAGAUGUUGGGUUGGUCCGCAACAGCGCAACCCCUUGUCAUUGGUGCUACGAAGAAGGGCACUCUAAUGAGACUGCCGGUGACAAACCGGAGGAAGGUGGGGAUGACGUCAAGUCCUCAUGGCCUUAUGGGUAGGGCUUCACACGUCAUACAAUGGUCGGGACAGAGGUCGCCAACCCGCGAGGGAGCUAAUCCAAACCCGAUCGUAGUCGGAUCGCAGUCUACAACAACUCGACUGCGUGAAGUCAGAAUCGCUAGUAAUCGCGGAUCAGCAUGUCGCGGUGAAUACGUUCCCGGGUCUUGUACACACCGCCCGUCACACCAUGGGAGUGGGUUUACCAGAAGUAGUUAGCCUAACCGUAAGGAGGGCGAUUACCACAGUAGGAUUCAUGACUGAGGAGUGAAGUCGUAACAAGGUAA
rnacentral:rRNA from 1 species